AGAGUUUGAUCCUGGCUCAGGACGAACGCUGGCGGCACGCUUAACACAUGCAAGUCGAACGAGAGAAGAGGAGCUUGCUUUUCUGAUCUAGUGGCGGACGGGUGAGCAACACGUGAGCAAUCUGCCUUUCAGAGGGGGAUACCGAUUGGAAACGAUCGUUAAUACCGCAUAACAUAAUUGAACCGCAUGAUUUGAUUAUCAAAGAUUUAUCGCUGAAAGAUGAGCUCGCGUCUGAUUAGCUAGUUGGUAAGGUAACGGCUUACCAAGGCGACGAUCAGUAGCCGGACUGAGAGGUUGAUCGGCCACAUUGGGACUGAGACACGGCCCAGACUCCUACGGGAGGCAGCAGUGGGGAAUAUUGCACAAUGGAGGAAACUCUGAUGCAGCGAUGCCGCGUGAGGGAAGAAGGUUUUAGGAUUGUAAACCUCUGUCUUCAGGGACGAAAAAAGACGGUACCUGAGGAGGAAGCUCCGGCUAACUACGUGCCAGCAGCCGCGGUAAUACGUAGGGAGCGAGCGUUGUCCGGAAUUACUGGGUGUAAAGGGAGCGUAGGCGGGAUCGCAAGUCAGAUGUGAAAACUAUGGGCUUAACCCAUAAACUGCAUUUGAAACUGUGGUUCUUGAGUGAAGUAGAGGUAAGCGGAAUUCCUAGUGUAGCGGUGAAAUGCGUAGAUAUUAGGAGGAACAUCAGUGGCGAAGGCGGCUUACUGGGCUUUAACUGACGCUGAGGCUCGAAAGCGUGGGGAGCAAACAGGAUUAGAUACCCUGGUAGUCCACGCCGUAAACGAUGAUUACUAGGUGUGGGGGGACUGACCCCUUCCGUGCCGCAGCAAACGCAAUAAGUAAUCCACCUGGGGAGUACGACCGCAAGGUUGAAACUCAAAGGAAUUGACGGGGGCCCGCACAAGCAGUGGAGUAUGUGGAUUAAUUCGAAGCAACGCGAAGAACCUUACCAGGUCUUGACAUCGUAUGCAUAGCUCAGAGAUGAGUGAAAUCUCUUCGGAGACAUAUAGACAGGUGGUGCAUGGUUGUCGUCAGCUCGUGUCGUGAGAUGUUGGGUUAAGUCCCGCAACGAGCGCAACCCUUACUGUUAGUUGCUACGCAAGAGCACUCUAGCAGGACUGCCGUUGACAAAACGGAGGAAGGUGGGGAUGACGUCAAAUCAUCUUGCCCCUUAUGACCUGGGCCUCACACGUACUACAAUGGCUGUCAACAGAGGGAAGCAAAGCCGCGAGGUGGAGCGAACCCCUAAAAGCAGUCUUAGUUCGGAUUGUAGGCUGCAACCCGCCUACAUGAAGUCGGAAUUGCUAGUAAUCGCAGAUCAGCAUGCUGCGGUGAAUACGUUCCCGGGCCUUGUACACACCGCCCGUCACGCCAUGGGAGUCGGUAACACCCGAAGCCUGUAGUCUAACCGCAAGGAGGACGCAGUCGAAGGUGGGAUUGAUGACUGGGGUGAAGUCGUAACAAGGUA
rnacentral:rRNA from 1 species